rnacentral:rRNA from 1 species
CCAGACUCCUACGGGAGGCAGCAGUGGGGAAUAUUGCACAAUGGGGGAAACCCUGAUGCAGCGACGCCGCGUGAGCGAUGAAGUAUUUCGGUAUGUAAAGCUCUAUCAGCAGGGAAGAAGAUGACGGUACCUGACUAAGAAGCCCCGGCUAACUACGUGCCAGCAGCCGCGGUAAUACGUAGGGGGCAAGCGUUAUCCGGAUUUACUGGGAGUAAAGGGAGCGUAGACGGCGGUGCAAGCCAGAUGUGAAAGCCCGGGGCUCAACCCUGGGACUGCUUUGGAAACUGUGGAGCUAGAGUGCUGGAGAGGUAAGUGGAAUUCCUAGUGUAGCGGUGAAAUGCGUAGAUAUUAGGAGGAACACCAGUGGCGAAGGCGGCUUACUGGACAGUAACUGACGUUGAGGCUCGAAAGCGUGGGGAGCAAACAGGAUUAGAUACCCCAGUAAA